rnacentral:rRNA from 1 species
AUGCGAAACCCCACACGUCGGCCUCUAUCUCCACAUCUCUCUCUCUCUCCCCCGUCGCUUUCUCCGUCCCCACCUCCCCUCUCCCCGUCCACUCUUCUCUCUCUCCCCGGCCAAGCACUCCUUGCUGCGCUCCCGCCCGCAGCGUCGCCUCCGCGCCCGGCCGCAGCUCCCGCCCGCAGCGUCGCCUCUGGAGCUACGUGGGACGGCGCAGCCGACGCGGCCACCAACCGCUGCGCCAUGGAUCCCGACGCCGAGAUCGCCUUCGACUUCCCGCCCUACCUCUGCCAGUACAAGAGCGGCCGCGUGCACCGCCCGGGCGGCGACGCCUUCGCCCCCACCGGCACCGACCCGCUCACCGGCGUCGUCUCCAAGGACAUCCACUCCAUCCCCGCCCGCGCGCACGUCUACCUCCCGCCCGACGCCUCCGCUGCCACCGCCGCGGCCCCCGGCAAGCUCCCCGUCGUCGUCUACUUCCACGGCGGCGGCUUCGUGGUCGGCUCCCCGGCCCGCCCCUCCGGCAACGCGCUGCGGGGCGCGCUCCCGCCCGGCCUCCUCCGGCUGCGCCGCCUCGAGGCGUUCAACGGCAGCCACCCGGUGCUCCCCGGCGCCGUGAACCUCAUGGCGUACGACGCGUCUGGCAACGGCUUCGAAGGCCCCGUGGACGCCGCGGCGGUCUGCGCGUCCUUGCCAGGCUCGUGCGUCGCGCUGGAGCCGUCCUCGCGCGGUGCCUCGGCGACGUCGGGAAGGAGCGGGUGGGGGUGGGGGGGGGCAACGACUGAAAGAGAUUGGAGCCCCAGAGUAAAAUUCUCGCCGGCAGCCUCCCAGGAGGCGAGAAAAAUGCCUCCUGGGGAGGCCAACGGCUUGAGAUGCCCUUAG